UAAAAUACAUUAUGUAUCUUCAGUAUAUAAUUAUAUAUCUCAGUAUAAAUAUAUUACAUUAUACUUUUUUCUAUAAAAAUAUAAAUAUAAGAGGUACAAAAUAUGCAUUUGUAACAAACAAAUGUUUAAUUUCAUUUAUUAUAUUCAUAUACUCGUUAGUUAUUAUAGGUUAAAACAAGUUAUAAUAAUGUAUCAGAUAUAUUAUUAUAACUUAUUUUAGACUAUAUAUAUUGUAAAAAAGUUGAUACAUAUGAAGGAAUAAAUAGAACUGUCAUGACAACGGUACAUGAGGUAGAAUCAAUUUUUGAUUUUCGAAAGUAUAAUCAGUGACAGAGGAUUUCGUGAUGUAUCUUCACCUUUAUCGCUUUUUGUAUCGAUAAAAUCAAUUCAGAUAAGGGCGUAAGUUUGCAUACGACGCAAGUUAGUGACAGGAGUUUUGAGGGAUUGAACCAAGAUCAAGUUGAUCUCCAUGAUUUGAGUUCCCUUUUCCAUGGCAAACAACCCUUUUUGUUGUUGUUUCUCUCCAAUUCAGUUUCUUUAAAAAUUCAAUCAAAUUCUUGGAUACUUGUAGCAAGUUUGGUUACAGAUUGAUCACUACACAAGAGCAAUUCUAACAUUCUUUUUCAUGUGCACAGUUUCACUUGUCUAGUAUUGAAAUAGAAGAGAAAGCAAUGAAAUCCUUGAUAUUGUUUGAGGCUGAAAUAUAAGAAAAAAUAAUGAAAUUCUUGACAUUAUUUGAGGUUGAAAUAGAAGAAAAAC
rnacentral:lncRNA from 1 species